rnacentral:rRNA from 1 species
UGGCGAACGGGUGAGUAAUACAUCGGAACGUGUCCGCUCGUGGGGGACAACCAGCCGAAAGGUUGGCUAAUACCGCAUGAGUUCUACGGAAGAAAGAGGGGGACCCACAAGGGCCUCUCGCGAGCGGAGCGGCCGAUGACUGAUUAGCCGGUUGGUGAGGUAACGGCUCACCAAAGCAACGAUCAGUAGCUGGUCUGAGAGGACGACCAGCCACACUGGGACUGAGACACGGCCCAGACUCCUACGGGAGGCAGCAG